GGGACUAGGGAGCCCCAUGCACAAGGGAGCUGAAACGCCUGUUCCAGAACAUUGCAGGCUGGCCAGUGACUCUCCUGCCAGAGCUUCCGGAGGCACAUCCAGCCACUUACCCAGUGCACACACAGGAGGGAGCAGCUUAGGCUGGGACGCACCCGCAGGCUGGAGGGCGAAGAUUUUUGGUGCCGGAACAAUCUGUAUAGUAUGGGGGUGCUGAGAGCCAUUGAACCAAACUGUAAACCUUGCAUAUAACGGAAACCACUUCAAGCCAGGGAGUGCAGCAGCACCCUGAGUUCCAGCACCUAUGCCUUCAGGAAACAGGCAGAGCUUCCAUGAGGCACUGGUGGACAUUUUGGCAACGUUUUCUGACCCACCAAAGGUGUGUGACAGAGCUUCGGAUGGAGCAGGAGGAGGAGGAAGAGCAACCUGGCAUGGCAGACUCGCACUAGCUGGUGCUGCUUGUUACACUCCGUAUAGCCACUGAAGCCCCUAUGAAGACUGGUGCUUCUGGUGCUGGGCCACAAGCACAGACUGGUGGGAUCACAUUGUCACAGGGACUUGGGAUGACCAGCAGUGGGUUCAGAACUUUUGCAUGAAGAAGCUACAUUUCUGGAGCUCUGUGAGCAGCUUGCCCCAACCCUUCAGCAUAAAGGCAUGAGAGCACCUUUGCCAGUUCAGAAGCAGGUUGCUGUCUGGAAGCUGGCUACCCCAGACUGCUACUGGUCCGUGGUCAAGCAGUUUGGUGUUGGAAAGAUGACAGUGUGUACAGUGGUGGUAGAGGUUUGGUGGCAGUUUGGUGGCAAUCAAGGGUUUGGUUUACUCCAAGGUGGCGGGCAUAUAAAGAUAUUCCUGAGGUAAUUGCUGGCUUUGAGCGAAUGGGGUUUUCAAACUGCGCCAGGGCCAUUGGUGGGACUUGUGUGUCCAUAGUUUGCCGUUUUCAAGAAGCACGAGUACAUAAACUGCAAAGAGGACUACUCCAUUGUUAUGCACAUUGUGAACCGUAGAGAUCAAUUUAUGAAUGUCAAUGUGAGUUGCACUGGAAAGUUCAUGAUGCCAGGGUUUUCAAUGGGGCUAAUUGAUUUGGGGAGGGUUCAGAGAAAAGGGGAGUUGGCUGCCAUGCAAUGUAGUUAUGAAUGACAUGACAACUUAUGAAAUGGGGGAGAGGUUGAUUCAGAGUAUGGAUUUAUAUAAGGAAGUAAUUGAAAAGUGGAUUGCUAUACCUAACUGUACAGAGGAAUAGUGUUUGCUUACUAAUUCCUAAUUGUUCCUGAUCAGUAUUUGAAAUAAUAAAGCUAAACACGUGAUUGUAUGAUGAGAUGCAGUGGUAGCAAUAAACUUUCUUGAUGACAUAAAAAUCUUUAUUUGUAAACAUGUGUUAAUACAAUAUAACAGUCACCCAUUGCCAGGCAGGCCAGCUGCCCUUACAACA